GAUGAACGCUGGCGGUAUGCUUAACACAUGCAAGUCGAACGAACUCUUCGGAGUUAGUGGCGGACGGGUGAGUAACGCGUGAGAAUCUAGCUUCAGGUCUGGGACAACCACUGGAAACGGUGGCUAAUACCGGAUGUGCCGGAAGGUGAAAGGCUUGCUGCCUGAAGAUGAGCUCGCGUCUGAUUAGCUAGUAGGUGGGGUAAGGCCUACCAAGGCGACGAUCAGUAGCUGGUCUGAAAGGAUGACCAGCCACACUGGGACUGAAACACGGCCCAGACUCCUACGGGAGGCAGCAGUGGGGAAUUUUCCGCAAUGGGCGAAAGCCUGACGGAGCAAUACCGCGUGAGGGAGGAAGGCUCUUGGGUUGUAAACCUCUUUUCUCAGGGAAAAAACAAUGACGGUACCUGAAGAAUCACCAUCGGCUAACUCCGUGCCAGCACCCGCGGUAAUACGGAGGAUGCAAGCGUUAUCCGGAAUGAUUGGGCGUAAAGCGUCCGCAGGUGGCUGUGUAAGUCUGCUGUCAAAGAGCGAAGCUCAACUUCGUAAAGGCAGUGGAAACUACAUGGCUAGAGUGCGUUCGGGGCAGAGGGAAUUCCUGGUGUAGCGGUGAAAUGCGUAGAGAUCAGGAAGAACACCGGUGGCGAAGGCGCUCUGCUAGGCCGCAACUGACACUGAGGGACGAAAGCUAGGGGAGCGAAUGGGAUUAGAUACCCCAGUAGUCCUAGCUGUAAACGAUGGAUACUAGGCGUGGCUUGUAUCGACCCGAGCCGUGCCGUAGCUAACGCGUUAAGUAUCCCGCCUGGGGAGUACGCACGCAAGUGUGAAACUCAAAGGAAUUGACGGGGGCCCGCACAAGCGGUGGAGUAUGUGGUUUAAUUCGAUGCAACGCGAAGAACCUUACCAAGGCUUGACAUGUCGCGAACUUUUCUGAAAGGAAGAGGUGCCUUCGGGAGCGCGAACACAGGUGGUGCAUGGCUGUCGUCAGCUCGUGUCGUGAGAUGUUGGGUUAAGUCCCGCAACGAGCGCAACCCUCGUUUUUAGUUGCCAGCAUUAAGUUGGGCACUCUAGAGAGACUGCCGGUGACAAACCGGAGGAAGGUGGGGAUGACGUCAAGUCAGCAUGCCCCUUACGCCUUGGGCUACACACGUACUACAAUGCUACGGACAGAGGGCAGCAAGCUAGCGAUAGCAAGCAAAUCCCAGAAACCGUGGCUCAGUUCAGAUCGAAGGCUGCAACUCGCCUUCGUGAAGGAGGAAUCGCUAGUAAUGCAGGUCAGCAUACUGCAGUGAAUUCGUUCCCGGGCCUUGUACACACCGCCCGUCACACCAUGGAAGCUGGCAACGCCCGAAGUCAUUACUCCAACCAUUCGUGGGGGAGGAUGCCUAAGGCAGUGCUGGUGACUGGGGUGAAGUCGUAACAAGGUAGCCGUACCGGAAGGUGUGGCUGGAUCACCUCCUUU
rnacentral:rRNA from 1 species